GUCGGCUAAACUAACAGCCUCCUUGCCACCACACUCGCAGGCCAAGGGUUCACUGAAGAAUUGGAUCGCUUUCCUACGGCCAUGGAGAGCCAAGCUCUGUCUUCAGGAAAAUGAUGGCCAUGGAGGGGACAGAGGAGCUCAUGUGGGCCAUUCCCUUGUUCUGUAGAUAAGGAAACUGAAGCACAGAGAGGUUAAAUCGCUCCUCCAAGGUCACACAGCUGGAAGUGGUAGAGCCAGAUUCAAACCCAGGCAGUCUGGAUCCAGAGCCCAGACCCUUAUCCAAAGACCAAAGGGGCAAAUGAAUGGUUUUGAG
rnacentral:lncRNA from 10 species